GCUGCUUGAAGUAGCGAAUCUGCCGUCUACACGCUGGUCGGGCGCAAGACCAAGUGUGCUCAACCGGCUAAAAGAGAUGCGGGACUUGGCAGACCCGCCGUGUGGC
rnacentral:ncRNA from 1 species